UAAGGAAUAUUGGUCAAUGGACGCAAGUCUGAACCAGCCAUGCCGCGUGGAGGAUGAAGGUCCUCUGGAUUGUAAACUUCUUUUAUCUGGGACGAAACACUUCUUUUCUAAGAGGCCUGACGGUACCAGAUGAAUAAGCACCGGCUAACUCCGUGCCAGCAGCCGCGGUAAUACGGAGGGUGCAAGCGUUAUCCGGAUUCACUGGGUUUAAAGGGUGCGUAGGUGGGUAUGUAAGUCAGUGGUGAAAUCCUACAGCUUAACUGUAGAACUGCCUUCGAUACUUUUAUUCUUGAGUUCGGGAGAGAGAGACGGAAUUCCAGGUGUAGUGGUGAAAUACGUAGAUAUCUGGAAGAACACCAGUUGCGAAGGCGGUCUCUUGGUCCGACACUGACGCUGAGGCGCGAAAGCGUGGGGAGCAAACA
rnacentral:rRNA from 1 species